rnacentral:rRNA from 1 species
AUACGGAGGGUGCAAGCGUUACUCGGAAUCACUGGGCGUAAAGCGCGCGCAGGCGGCUAUUUAAGUUGGAUGUGAAAGCCUACGGCUCAACCGUAGAACUGCAUCCAAAACUAUUUAGCUAGAGCGUGGGAGAGGAAGAUGGAAUUAGUUGUGUAGGGGUAAAAUCCGUAGAGAUAACUAGGAAUACCAAAAGCGAAGGCAAUCUUCUGGAACACUACUGACGCUGAGGCGCGAAAGCGUGGGGAGCAAACAGGAUUAGAAACCCUAGUAGUCC